rnacentral:rRNA from 1 species
GUCAGUUUGCAGCUAAACUUGCGGGCGUAUUCCUGUGUUUGACCAAACUUUGUAAGCGUACACUGCAACCAGUUAGACGAUUGGCCAUGGGCCCAGUUGUGUUUAGGGGUAACUCUGGAUAUAACGAAGCAUUUGUUUGGUCGGGUUAGUAGUAGCGUUGUUGCAUUUCGGUGCAUUUAAUGUUGCUGGGCCCGUGCCAAGUGAACUAUGGCCAAAUACUGACUGGCAAAAUGAAAAUCGCAUGCAUAUGCGUAAUACAAAAUGCAGCUUGUUGCAUUGGUGUCUACACAGUAGACUAUUGGGUUUAAGCUCGGCAUUUUUGAAUUCAGACAUGCUUGCUACCAGUGGGGCAACUCCUGGUGCUUGUACUGCUUCUGUCUAAUCGGGUGUCGACUUGACUCUGUAUCGUUCUGCUGUGAAGCGAUUGGGUGCCAAUGUAAGCGGGUUCGCUAUGUGAAU